rnacentral:ncRNA from 1 species
AUCCGACUUUUUAAUUAAAACAAAACAUUGUAUGGUCCCUGCGGAUGUUGACACAAUGUGAUUUAUUCCUAGUGCUUUGCAUGUCAAAGUGAAGAAAUUAAACCAUGUGUGGGUAAACAUUGGGAGUAACUACGACUCUCUUAAGGUAGCCAUAUGCCUCGUCAUCUAAUUAUUGAUGCACAUGAAUGGAUUAACGAGAUUCUCACUAUCCCUAGCUACUAUCUAGAGAAACCACAGCCAAGGGAACGGGCUUGGCAGAAUCAAUGGGAAAAGAAUACCCUGUUGAGCUUGACUCUAGUCCGACUUUGUGAAAUGACUUGAGAGGUGUAGAAUAAGUGGGAUCCAUUUUCGGCACAAGUGAAAUACAACUACUUUUAACGUUAUUUUACUUAUUGUUUGGGGCAAAGACAAGGGAUUGCACAUAUGUUAAAAGAUAACACACAUUUCCUCAAAGUGUUGUCAUUGAUGGCAAUGGU